CACCGGGCACCAGGUUCUGCCAGCUCACUUGCCAAGCGUUCAGAAAUCUGUCAGGGGCCGGAGGCCUCUGGGUAGCCUAGGCUAAGGAGAUGACACGCAAGGCGACGAUGGGUGGUCCGAUGGGCUUCAGGACUUGAUGGCGUAACCCCCGUCUUCCCCCACUGUCAGCUGCUCAAGCCUGACCGAGGUAGAGGAAAGAGGAGCAAGCCGUCCCUGGUGUCCCACCUGACCUCCCAGCCUUUACCCCCAUUUCCUUCUAUCGGGCAGACAGACAGACAGGCUGGUUUUCCAAGUUGUUUGGGUAUCAGUGUCUGUCCGUCCGUAUGGUUCUCAGGUAGAAGGUGCGGAGUGAGGAGGAGAAGUGUUGAGAGGAAGGCGAGAGGGGCAGCUUUCUAGGGGUUGCCCUGUUGAAACAUUCGGCCCUGGGAAUCUGGGGCUAUUGGGGAGCAGGUGGGCAGGAUGGGGCGUGGGCUGCGAGAAGUGGGGUAAAGCCGGUAGGUCUGUCAUUGCGUAGUUGGGGAAAGUGGGGAAUGGUGACGCAGUCACUGUUGGAUCUUGUUAGGGGCUCUGGGGGGACAGGUAGUGAGGGUCCCAGGAUCUGUACGGCCAGCUGAGAGGGGUUGAGGAUGAGCUGAGAAGGGAAGCUAGCAUUUAGAGAUUAAAUGUCAUCCUUUUGGCGUUGGAAAGUUGUUUACCUUGUGCUCUCUGUGUCUCCAUGUUGGCACCCUUCCAGUUCACAUGUGAUGGCCUUCCUUGUACUGCUGCAUCAUUAACUAAGUGACUGAGCUGGCCUUCCAUUGGCCAGGGGAGGGCUCUCACUCUAGACACUUCCUCUGAUUGGUGGGUGGACCAAUGGCAGUGGGAAUUUUCCGAUCAGCCACACCUCAGCGUUGCGGCAAAAUAAAUCUUGGCUCCCCUGGAAACGCAUGGGCAAGGUAGGGCAGAGCUGCUGUUGCCACCACCCUGGGCUUCCUGCUGACUCCGGGCUCCUCCCUGGGGACAAGAGAUUUGCAUUGACGUCCCAGGCCGUCCAGAGCUGAGCCCAUUAUGGGAAGGACCUGCCUUCUGGAAGCUGCUGCUCCCCGGUGCUUGGAAAGGUACCACAUCCAUCUGGUUCACAGCGGUUAUUUCAUUUAUGUCUCACCGCAACCCUGCGAGGAGUGUCCCAUGGCCGGAACUUCUGCAUCAGGAAAACACCAUGGAAACGCCAGGAGCAUUGGUGGUGGCCGAGUGAGGGUUAAACAGUGAGCCUUCCUGGAUCCUUUUGAGGCCAGGUUAGUUUCCCUUCUUUCCGAACGCAGCACUGGCUGCCUGCUUCCUGAUGCUGCUGCAUCCCGUGGGAGGGGAGUUGGGCACCCCGAA